rnacentral:rRNA from 1 species
CCCCGGUAAACGGCGGCCGUAACUAUAACGGUCCUAAGGUAGCGAAAUUCCUUGUCGGGUAAGUUCCGACCUGCACGAAUGGCGUAAUGAUGGCCAGGCUGUCUCCACCCGAGACUCAGUGAAAUUGAACUCGCUGUGAAGAUGCAGUGUACCCGCGGCAAGACGGAAAGACCCCGUGAACCUUUACUAUAGCUUGACACUGAACAUUGAGCCUUGAUGUGUAGGAUAGGUGGGAGGCUUUGAAGUGUGGACGCCAGUCUGCAUGGAGCCGACCUUGAAAUACCACCCUUUAAUGUUUGAUGUUCUAACGUGGACCCGUAAUCCGGGUUGCGGACAGUGUCUGGUGGGUAGUUUGACUGGGGCGGUCUCCUCCUAAAGAGUAACGGAGGAGCACGAAGGUUGGCUAAUCCUGGUCGGACAUCAGGAGGUUAGUGCAAUGGCAUAAGCCAGCUUGACUGCGAGCGUGACGGCGCGAGCAGGUGCGAAAGCAGGUCAUAGUGAUCCGGUGGUUCUGAAUGGAAGGGCCAUCGCUCAACGGAUAAAAGGUACUCCGGGGAUAACAGGCUGAUACCGC